AUACGGAGGAUCCAAGCGUUAUCCGGAUUUAUUGGGUUUAAAGGGUGCGCAGGCGGGCUUAUAAGUCAGCGGUGAAAGUUUGCAGCUUAACUGUAAAAUUGCCGUUGAAACUGUGAGUCUUGAGUGCAAAUGAGGUAAGCGGAAUGUGUUGUGUAGCGGUGAAAUGCUUAGAUAUAACACAGAACACCAAUUGCGAAGGCAGCUUACUGGGAUGCAACUGACGCUCAUGCACGAAAGCGUGGGGAUCAAACAGGAUUAGAUACCCUGGUAGUCCACGCAGUAAACGAUGAAUACUAACUGUUUGCGAUAUACAGUAAGCGGUACAGCGAAAGCGUUAAGUAUUCCACCUGGGGAGUACGUUCGCAAGAAUGAA
rnacentral:rRNA from 1 species